AGCAGGCAGGGACCCAACUGUUGGCCCCGGCCAAGUGAAAAUCCCUGACCUAUAGGCAGGAAUCACUGGCAUGCAGGGUGCUGUGGUGCUGGCAGAGGACACACUGCAAAAUACUCACUUAACACAGACAGGAGGGAAUGCAGGAUAUGAUUUAAGCUCAGUGCCACUGUUGUCUUGACCAACCACUACACCUAUUGGUGAGCAAAUCGAGCGCACCGACUCUACAACCUGCAAUAAUCUGUGUACGGGGCCCCGUACCCUGCUUGAUGUUCCUAAGAAGCUGCAGCCCUGCACACAUAUCAGGACACUUUUCAAGAACAGCUGAGAGGUGUAGGCUACUACUAAGCGAGAGGUCAACUAUGGAUACUCGGCUGUGAGAAUUUUUGAUGGAGCACAAACUUGAAGAAGAAUAUUGAUGAAACUGUCAUUCCGUUAAUGACAGACAGUGACCUGGCAAAGUACAUCCCCAAAGUUGGAGAUAGAGUCUCCACUGUGGCCUUCUGCCGACAAGCAGCACUGUCACAAAACUCACAAUCCAGGAAAGAAUCCAUACUCUCAAGGCUACGACAAAGACUGUCUGGAGCUGAGGGGAUGCCACCAAAAGAGAGAACAUCUAAGUGGGCAGGAAAUACAAAUGCCAAACGGAAGCUCUGAACAGCGACGUGUGUGUGUAUAUCGAGAUGGAGAGCAUGCUAGCUGAUGGCUAACACUUAAAUUAGCGCCCUUGGAACGGCGGAAUGAGUUUUCUGCAGAGUGCUUAUGGUACACGUGCUGGUCGAGAGUGAGAAUAAAUCAACAUCCGUUUGAAACUCUGCGUCUUGCUGAAUGAAUCCAAGGGGCCGCUACAGCGACUGAGAAAGAGUCUCACCACAUCCUGACAUGAGGAAAGAGACUUUAUUGAAAACUACAUUGAGAAAAACUAUCCAGACAGCAGACGGCUGCAUUCAAGGUGAGCUCUGAACAUUUGAUCUGGAACAGGAAUUCAAUAACGGCAGCAUGAGCUUCAUUUCAGUCUGUAGCUGCUGAAUUCAUGGAUGAGUCAUCUGGCACGAGAGAGGAAGAUCAUCAAACAUCCACGUCAGCUGAUGGAGGUCCAAGGGUCUCACCAAACAACCAAUCUGCAGAGUGAAGACCUCUAACCUGAUUGGAUGGCCUCCUUUUCAGCCACGUGUGAACAAAUGCCUCUAAGUUGAUUUGUUUUCUAAAAUAAAUCUAGUUUGAGUCCUAA